GGGGGCGGGACUCGGGGGCGGGGCUUAGGCGGCGGAGCCCGGCGCGGCCCGGAGGCCCAGGUCUGGUAGCCCUCGCCCACCCGACCCCCACGGCGGGACACCAGCCCCAGGGACCGGCCUGCCCUUCAUCCCUCCUCGGCCUGGCGCAGGGCCUUUUUCUGAGCCGUGCGCCGAGCCAAAGCUCCCAGGCCAGUCAGGGAGUUUCCCAGAGCACAGAAAUAAAAAUACCUGAGACACGCCAGACAGGAGAGGGUGGAAGUGACCAUCGGUUAUCUGCAGUGGCUGUGAUGAACUGGACGAGCCAGUAAGCAGCGGCAAAGACCAGCCUGAAGCCUCAACCAGCAAGCCUCCUGGGCCCUAAGGGACGAUGGCGCUGACCUCGUCCGACCCUCCUGACUCCGAUCGAAUAAAGCUGGGGCUCUGUGGGAAGACACUGCUUUGGGAAAGAACCCCCGUGUUCUCCUUACUUGCUGCAAGUAAUAAUAAAUCCUUCCUUCUCCCGA